GAAGAUUGCCGUCGGCCCAACAUGGGAGGGGAGAGCCCCGCUCCGCCUCGCCCGACCCAUUGCCUCGGGGUCGGACGCUCCCGACCCCCCGCCGCAAGACUCCGCCUCGCCCGACCCAGGGGCCUAGGGUCGGGAGCACCCGACCCCCCGCCGCAAGACUCCGUCUCGCCCGACCUAGGGCGCAGGGGGUCGGACUCAUCCGGGCCCGCAAGACAAAUAUCCGCCUCGGGCGCAGAUUGGAAGAUCAGGGCGCGGAUCUCGUGGGUCUCCCUGUGGACCUCGCCAUAAAUGCGCCGCGGCUCUGGUGCGCAGAAAGGCGCCCGCGCCCCCGACGCGACCCGCCACAAGUACCCAUGCGUGACCAGGCGGUGCCGGCUACAGUGGCCAUGGCUCCCUCCGAUUCGCUACAGGUCACUCAUGG
rnacentral:lncRNA from 1 species